GAUGUACGCUAGCGGCGUGCCUUAUGCAUGCAAGUCGAACGGUCUUAAGCAAUUAAGAUAGUGGCGAACGGGUGAGUAACGCGUAAGUAACCUACCUCUAAGUGGGGGAUAGCUUCGGGAAACUGAAGGUAAUACCGCAUGUGGUGGGCCAACAUAUGUUGGUUCACUAAAGCCGUAAGGCGCUUGGUGAGGGGCUUGCGUCCGAUUAGCUAGUUGGUGGGGUAAUGGCCUACCAAGGCUUCGAUCGGUAGCUGGUCUGAGAGGAUGAUCAGCCACACUGGGACUGAGACACGGCCCAGACUCCUACGGGAGGCAGCAGCAAGGAAUCUUGGGCAAUGGGCGAAAGCCUGACCCAGCAACGCCGCGUGAGGGAUGAAGGCUUUCGGGUUGUAAACCUCUUUUCAUAGGGAAGAAUAAUGACGGUACCUGUGGAAUAAGCUUCGGCUAACUACGU
rnacentral:rRNA from 1 species